rnacentral:lncRNA from 12 species
AGGAAGAACUAUGUUGCAUUAUCCUUUCUGCAGCUCCUAUGGCCAAAAUGCAACAACGCCCCAAAGUGGCCGAAGGGCCAAUAAAGUCAUGGUUUUCUCCUGCACUGCCUUGAGGAGUGUGUGCUGACUGUGAUGGGGUUGAAGUCCAUGGAGAAACCUCCGUGUGUGAAUCUGAUCACUGGGAAAGGCUGCAGGGCAGCUUUGCUCAGGAAUUCUGUAAGAGCUGCUGCCUCAUUGCUUAUUUGCUUUGCUGCUGAAACCUUUACAAGUGCCUGAGACAGCAAAUCCAGC